GACCUCUCUCAGUCUCUGAAAGUAAAUUUCCUACCAGCUGAAUGCAGUGGGGCCAUGUCAUCCCUGUGACUAAAUGUAAAGUAGGUAAACAGUGUGCUCUUUCUUGCACAUUCAGAUUUGUGUUAACAAACAUCUCCUAGGCCUUUCUGGCUUUUGUUUCACUGCUUCUGUUUUGGAAAUAACACUCAUAGGUCUCUUCCCUCUCUGCAUAUCCAAAUCCUACCAUCAGAGCUCAACUUAAAUGUUUACCUUCCUCUCCGUCCCUGGAAGUCCAACUUUGUUUUUUCAACUGGCGGGUCCACCUAGCAAGAUUUUUCAGAAUAAACAUGCUUUCAGUUAUCCUCCUUGCUUUUCCUCAGACAGCCGGACCGUUUCUCCCAAAUUAAAGUUCUGAUGUGAUUUCUCCAUCCUGUAAAUCCCCACCGGACUCUAAUACACACGAUCACAUUGUGGUGAUUUGUGUAAGUUUCUUAUGAGUUUCCUGAGUGCGGGGACUGAGUGUAAGGCAGCUAAGCCCUACCGGACAAGAAUCGGCUCCACCAGGUCCGAAUUCUGGCGUCUCCACUAGCCACGUGACCACGGACAUAUCAUUAACAUCAAUGGGCCUCAGCUGCAUCAUCCGAAAAAUUCCAGUAAUACUCCGUGCCCCCUGAGAUGUGAGGAUUAAAUGAGAUAGUGCCUUGAAAGUGCUUUUUAGGAAUCAGUCAUUCCAGUGCCCUUUGCAGUCCUGUCCAGAGUUUGGAGCCCCCAAAAUUCCUGAAACCCUCUCUGUGGCAGUCACACUAGAGGUGAGAUAAGACCCUGGCUUUGGAAAUAAGCACUUCACCCCAGCAGUUCCUCCUUCUCCUGAGGGUUGUGACUAGUCCUGAGAACCAGUAGCAGUCCCCGGACCCCCGUCUUGGUCCUCACAAUCAUAUCACUGCCACGUGACCAUAGCUGUGGUGGGACCACCCAGGAGGAUAGGAGGGGAAAGUCUGAAUCGCAUCCGGCAGCGCUGUAAACGCCAGGGUGAGGUGGAGCCUGGAGAGGCUCCAAGCCGAGGCGGAUGAGCAGAGCUGACAAAUGCUUCAGCUGGUGCUGCCUCCCCUCAGCCCUUCCUGAACGCCCCAGCCUCCGGCGUUCAGUCCCCAGUGCCACGGCUGAUAAGGUGACUUUAUGAGAGGAGAUGUGACAAUUCCCUCUCUGCUCCUGCUUGGCCCUGGCUUUCGUGUAAUCUCAUUAGAAAUGGUGCCAACUCUCCUGGAGAGGCUGAACACAUCUCAGGAUGUACGUCUUGCUGAGACAGGAUAAUUUAGGAUUUAAAAUCCUCCAGAUUUGUUUAUUUUAAAUAACUGAGAUACUGUUUGUACUUCCCGCCUGUGAAAUAUGCUCUGCGCACUUAAAAACCGAGUCCCUCUGCCAAGUUUAUGAUCGGCCUCUCUCUCCAUAACGUUAUUCCCUUUCUGGUCCGACACCUGUUCCUUUCAAAAUUGAGGUGUAGCAAAGAAAAGGGGAGACUGAAAUCGAGCAGGACCUUGCGGGCCCCCUCCUGGGUACAAAAGCCUUUCCAUGUCCUCCGUUUCUUGUUUCUAGGAGAAAGGAUUUCAGCCUUCUAGACCAUUCCUAAGUUCCAAAGGGCAGAAUCAAACAGUUACUGAUUAGAGGAGAGAAUGCAGAAACCGAGGGAAGGCAGUCAAGAAACAACAGUGCAGCGAUAGGUCAGGGUGCUGGUUCCUCCUCAAAGGAUGUACAUAAUCUGGUGCGUAUCUCUGAGUUCUUCUGCAGGAACUGAGGCCCCGCCCAGGUGGAGAAUGGUAGCUUCAGGCUGAGCACAAGCACGCGGACCCCAGACUGGUUGGAACCAGAAGACUGAUGAUUGAGAUUCCUGGGAUACCACCCUGCUACCACCCCACCAACGAAUCAGAGGAAGUCAGCGGGCUGUACUCGGAAGAUCAGGAGCCUGGGGACCGGCAUUGGAUUCAAAUUCCAGUUCUAAGACUAAACCUCAAUUUCCCAUUUUACCUGGAAAUAAAUAAAAAUAUUGAACUCAGAAUCAUUUUUGAGGGCUGCACGGGAUAAUGGAAGAGGACCCAGCUCUUUUCCUGACUUGUAGCAGGCACUCAAGGAAUGAUAUUUCUUCCACUUCCUUGAUCCCCCUCCCAAGAGUUUCAGUUUUAGUGCCAAAUCCGGACUAAGCAUUUGCCCGUGACACCGUCUCCAUGUGCUGUGGUGUGCAGAAUGAUUGGGGUCGGGUAAGCAUGGUGAGUCAUUGAGGAUGUGGGAUUCAGUGGGAAGCAGGAAGGAGAAAGCCCUGGCCCCUCCAUCACUGAAUGGAGCAGGGAGGUUGCGGGACUCUGGAGGGCAUUCUGCCUUUUCCCUCUUCUCUUCCAAAGCUCACUCCUGGCCCACCAUCCUCAGCCUGGGUCCCCACCAGCACAGGUUAUCCUAUGGGCCUUGCCCCUCUUGAACCACGACUGAGGGUAGGUGGGGCCCAGACUUGGGAGAAAUGAUCAAAUACGUGGUUUGUCUCUGGUGCAGCUACUGUCCUGAAUUUGGUCCUUCCUCUCCUUAGGGUUAGCUUUCCUCGCAGUGCUUUCAACUCUCCUCUCCAUCUUCCCCUCCUCCUUAUCUACUCUCAAACCUCAGCUUCCGGAAGGUAUGUGGGUCAGGCCGUGUUCCUCCAGGGGCAGCCUCAGUCCUGCCGCAGCAUAUCAGGAUGUGGUUGCCCGAGAAAUACCUGGCAGAGCAGACAGCAGAGUGAUUCAACAGACA